GCAUGCCUGGUUCCCUGUAUGCCAUCUGCUAAGCCCACCAGAAAACUGGCGGCCAAAGUGAAUGGCAUCCAUGGAGCCAUGCAUAU
rfam:Prunus persica cultivar Lovell chromosome G6, whole genome shotgun sequence.